GUGCACGCUGGCGGUAGGCCUAACCCCUGCAAGUCGAACGGCAGCACCGUAAGAGCUUGCUCUUACGGGUGGCGAGUGGCGGACGGGUGAGGAAUACAUCGGAAUCUACUUUUUCGUGGGGGAUAACGUAGGGAAACUUACGCUAAUACCGCAUACGACCUACGGGUGAAAGCAGGGGAUCUUCGGACCUUGCGCGAUUGAAUGAGCCGAUGUCGGAUUAGCUAGUUGGCGGGGUAAAGGCCCACCAAGGCGACGAUCCGUAGCUGGUCUGAGAGGAUGAUCAGCCACACUGGAACUGAGACACGGUCCAGACUCCUACGGGAGGCAGCAGUGGGGAAUAUUGGACAAUGGGCGCAAGCCUGAUCCAGCCAUACCGCGUGGGUGAAGAAGGCCUUCGGGUUGUAAAGCCCUUUUGUUGGGAAAGAAAAGCAGCAGGUUAAUACCCCGCUGUUCUGACGGUACCCAAAGAAUAAGCACCGGCUAACUUCGUG
rnacentral:rRNA from 1 species